rnacentral:rRNA from 1 species
UAGUCCACGCCGUAAACGAUGAGCACUAGCUAUUGGUAAAGUAACGUUAUCAGUGGCGCAGCUAACGCAUUAAGUGCUCCGCCUGGGGGAGUACGGUCGCAAGACUAAAACUCAAAGGAAUUGACGGGGGCCCGCACAAGCGGUGGAUCAUGUGGUUUAAUUCGAGGCUACGCGAAGAACCUUACCUAGGCUUGAAAUCCUGUGAAUGAGUUGUAAUUGACUCAGUGCUAGCAAUAGAACACAGUGACAGGUGCUGCAUGGCUGUCGUCAGCUCGUGUUGUGAAAUGUUGGGUUAAGUCUCGCAACGAGCGCAACCCCUAUCUUUAGUUGCCAGUCAUUAAGUUGGGCACUCUAGAGAGACUGCCCGGGUUAACCGGGAGGAAGGUGGGAUGACGUCAAGUCCUCAUGGCCCUUAUGCCUAGGGCUACACACGUGAUACAAUGGUGCCGACAGAGGGAAGCGAAACCGCGACGGUGGAGCAAAUCUCAAAAACGGCAAGUCUCAGUACC